AGAAUUUGGGUGUGUGUUUGUUCAAAUAGUGAACGAUGGCAGAUUAGACAGGUACAAAAAUAGAUCGUUUUUUGCAACCCAGAUUUCAUUGUUCAGUAUGAGUUUUGAUGUAUAGAAGAAGUAUAAG
rnacentral:snoRNA from 1 species